rnacentral:tRNA from 2 species
UAAGAGUUAGUUUAAUUUAGAAUAAUUGACUGUUAAUCAAUAGGUUUUUCUCUUAA